AUUGAACGCUGGCGGCAUGCCUUACACAUGCAAGUCGAACGGCAGCACGGGGGCAACCCUGGUGGCGAGUGGCGAACGGGUGAGUAAUACAUCGGAACGUGCCCGGUAGUGGGGGAUAGCUCGGCGAAAGCCGGAUUAAUACCGCAUACGACCUACGGGUGAAAGCGGGGGACCGCAGGGCCUCGCGCUAUUGGAGCGGCCGAUGUCAGAUUAGGUUGUUGGUGGGGUAAAGGCCCACCAAGCCGACGAUCUGUAGCUGGUCUGAGAGGACGACCAGCCACACUGGGACUGAGACACGGCCCAGACUCCUACGGGAGGCAGCAGUGGGGAAUUUUGGACAAUGGGCGCAAGCCUGAUCCAGCCAUGCCGCGUGCGGGAAGAAGGCCU
rnacentral:rRNA from 1 species